UGUCCAGAAACUCCUAUCCCUACCUCCGCGUGGUACCUGCUAGAAACUACGAGCAACCUUAGGGAAGAACGGGUAAGCAACCCCGGUGGGAACUUUGGUCGUAGACUAACAGGAAAGG
rfam:Aedes albopictus isolate Foshan contig54854, whole genome shotgun sequence.